rnacentral:lncRNA from 10 species
UCCUCCCCUCCCCUUCUCCUCCUUCUCCCCUCCCCUCCUCUCCUCCUCCUCCUCCUCUCUCCCCUUAUUCUUCCAAGGGCAGAGGUGCAAGAAGGAAGCUGUGUCUGCAGACUAUGAACAGAGGAAUCGUCUCCACUGCUCACUGACCCUAACCCAUUGGGUCUCUGGCUAAAGCAGAAGAGUCCCACACCUGAGGGGAGGGUGUUCGCUCUGAACACACAGCUUCAAGGAUGUUCUGCUCUAAUGGAAAGGCUCUAGACUGUAGCUAAGACUUUCACUCGUCCAGAUAUUUACAGUUUGAAGGACUUCCCUCCUGAUAUUUUUGGCAAUAAAGGAGAAAAUCAUUUCUCCUCAGAGCAUUUGAAAUUGGAAAAAUAAACGUGCUGUGUGCAGCUGAAUCUUCUAAGCCUUUGACAUUUUUCAGUGGCAGGAUGGAGGGUCCGUAUGGACAGUCAGACUUGAGCGCUUGAACACUUACAGUCUUUGCGUCUGCAAAACCUGGAUAAUCACUCCAUAUACCACCUGCCGGGAACUAAUUUUCUUGUCAUUUCAUAAAAAAAGAUUCCCAGUCUUCUAGACAAGUUGCAAGGACUGACUAACGCGGGGGAAUGCUUGCAUAUCAGCAGACCAGAGGUGGUGUAGACGCCAAGCGUGGACCGAGUCCCGGGGCGCCCCAGAAGUGUCUUCUCCCCGAGCGACAGAGUUAAUGCCUCGCAUUAACAGCUAUGAGUCCCUCUUGGGUUUCUCCCACUCCCAACACCCUUCUCUGAGCCCCUGGCCACCGUCGCCUUCUCCUCUCGC